GAGCUUCAGCAGCACAUAUACUAAAAUUGGAAGGAUACAGAGAUUAAGUAUGGCCUCCUGGGCAAGGACGACACACAAAUCCCUGAAGCAUUCCAUACCUUU
ensembl:snRNA U6 U6 spliceosomal RNA